rnacentral:rRNA from 1 species
GACGAACGCUGGCGGCGUGCUUAACACAUGCAAGUCGAACGGUGAAGCGCCUUCCUUUUUGGUGGGUGUGGAUGAGUGGCGAACGGGUGAGUAACACGUGAGUAACCUGCCCCCUUCUUCUGGAUAACCGCAUGAAAGUGUGGCUAAUACGGGAUAUUCUGGGUCUGUCGCAUGAUGGGUCUGGGAAAGAUAUUGUUUCGGUGGGGGAUGGGCUCGCGGCCUAUCAGCUUGUUGGUGGGGUGAUGGCCUACCAAGGCGGUGACGGGUAGCCGGCCUGAGAGGGUGGACGGUCACACUGGGACUGAGACACGGCCCAGACUCCUACGGGAGGCAGCAGGGGGGAAUAUUGCACAAUGCGCGCAAGCCUGAUGCAGCGACGCCGCGUGAGGGAUGGAGGCCUUCGGGUUGUGAACCUCUUUCGCCAGUGAAGCAGGCCUGCCUCGUUUGUGGGUGGGUUGACGGUAGCUGGACAAGAAGCGCCGGCUAACUACGUG